GAAAUGCGAUACGCAAUGCGAAUUGCAGAACCGCGAGUCAUCAGAUCUUUGAACGCAAGUGGCGAUAGCUUCGGCUAUCAUGUUUGUUUCAGUGUAUCCGGUUAAUUACAUCAAAGAACUUAAUGUGAUUGAAGAAAUUCUCUCACCAAGUAUGAGGCUGCUUCAAAGCACACCCAACCGAAACAGUCACUAACUGGUGAUACUCGUUUGGAGUGAAACUUUGGUAAACAGCAGCUUUGCAUGAAUUUAUCCACUAAUGAUACCUGAAAUAAGCAAGAAUACCCGCUGAACUUAA
rnacentral:misc_RNA from 1 species